UUUUGGACAAUGGGGGCAACCCUGAUCCAGCCAUGCCGCGUGAGUGAAGAAGGCCUUCGGGUUGUAAAGCUCUUUCGGACGGAACGAAAUGGGCGGGACUAAUACUCCUGUCUGAUGACGGUACCGUAAGAAGAAGCACCGGCUAACUACGUGCCAGCAGCCGCGGUAAUACGUAGGGUGCGAGCGUUAAUCGGAAUUACUGGGCGUAAAGCGUGCGCAGGCGGUUUCGUAAGCUGGAGGUGAAAUCCCCGGGCUUAACCUGGGAAUGGCCUUCAGACUGCAGGCAGAGUGCGGCAGAGGGGGGUGAAUUCCACGUGAGCAGUAAAUGCGAGAAUGUGAGAACACCAUGGCAAGGAGCCUCCUGGCCCGACUGCGUAUGCAAA
rnacentral:rRNA from 1 species